CAGUUUAUUGAAUAAUGGUUCAGGUAUGAGAAGUAUCAUGUCUGUUAUGGAGGGGAAGAGGAAGCGAGGAAGUCCAACUACACUGACAUGGUUAAUAAAUACUAUGAUCUUGUUACAAGCUUUUAUGAGUAUGGUUGGGGAGAGUCUUUCCACUUUGCACCCAGAUGGAAUGGGGAGUCUCUUCAAGAGAGUAUCAAGCGACAUGAACACUUCCUUGCUUUACAACU